rnacentral:rRNA from 1 species
UACGGGGGGGACUAGCGUUGUUCGGAUUUACUGGGCGUAAAGGGCGCGUAGGCGGACUUUCAAGUCGGGUGUGAAAACCUUGAGCUCAACUCAGGGCUUGCAUUCGAUACUGUUGGUCUUGAGUACAGGAGAGGAAAGUGGAAUUCCAGGUGUAGCGGUGAAAUGCGUAGAUAUCUGGAAGAACACCAGUAGCGAAGGCGGCUUUCUGGACUGAUACUGACGCUAAAGCGCGAAGGCUUGGGGAGCAAACAGG